rnacentral:rRNA from 1 species
GACGAACGCUGGCGGCGUGCCUAAUACAUGCAAGUCGAGCGCAGGAAACUGACGGAACUCUUCGGAGGGAAGGCAGUGGAAUGAGCGGCGGACGGGUGAGUAACACGUAAGGAACCUGCCUCAAGGAUUGGGAUAACUCCGAGAAAUCGGAGCUAAUACCGGAUAGUUCAACGGACCGCAUGGUCCGCUGAUGAAAGGCGCUCCGGCGUCCCCUUGAGAUGGCCCUGCGGUGCAUUAGCUAGUUGGUGGGGUAACGGCCCACCAAGGCGACGAUGCAUAGCCGACCUGAGAGGGUGAUCGGCCACACUGGGACUGAGACACGGCCCAGACUCCUACGGGAGGCAGCAGUAGGGAAUCUUCCACAAUGGACGAAAGUCUGAUGGAGCAACGCCGCGUGAGUGAUGAAGGUUUUCGGAUCGUAAAACUCUGUUGUAAGGGAAGAACACGUACGAGAGGGAAUGCUCGUACCUUGACGGUACCUUACGAGAAAGCCACGGCUAACUACGUGCCAGCAGCCGCAGUAA